rnacentral:rRNA from 1 species
GUGGGGAAUCUUAGACAAUGGGCGCAAGCCUGAUCUAGCCAUGCCGCGUGAGCGAUGAAGGCCUUAGGGUUGUAAAGCUCUUUCAGGGGGGAAGAUAAUGACGGUACCCCCAGAAGAAGCCCCGGCUAACUCCGUGCCAGCAGCCGCGGUAAUACGGAGGGGGCUAGCGUUGUUCGGAAUUACUGGGCGUAAAGCGCACGUAGGCGGACCAGAAAGUCAGGGGUGAAAUCCCGGGGCUCAACCCCGGAACUGCCUUUGAAACUCCUGGUCUUGAGGUCGAGAGAGGUGAGUGGAAUUCCGAGUGUAGAGGUGAAAUUCGUAGAUAUUCGGAGGAACACCAGUGGCGAAGGCGGCUCACUGGCUCGAUACUGACGCUGAGGUACGAAAGCGUGGGGAGCAAACAGGAUUAGAUACCCUUGUAGUCC